GAUGAAGAACGCAGCGAAAUGCGAUAAGUAAUGUGAAUUGCAGAAUUCAGUGAAUCAUCGAAUCUUUGAACGCACAUUGCGCCCUUUGGUAUUCCAAAGGGCAUGCCUGUUCGAGCGUCAUUUGUACCCUCAAGCUUUGCUUGGUGUUGGGCGUCUUGUCUCUAGCUUUGCUGGAGACUCGCCUUAAAGUAAUUGGCAGCCGGCCUACUGGUUUCGGAGCGCAGCACAAGUCGCACUCUCUAUCAGCAAAGGUCUAGCAUCCACUAAGCCUUUUUUUCAACUUUUGACCUCGGAUCAGGUAGGGAUACCCGCUGAACUUAAGCAUAUCAAUAGCGGAGGA
rnacentral:misc_RNA from 1 species